GAUGAACGCUAGCGAUAGGCCUAACACAUGCAAGUCGAGGGGCAUCACAUGAAGUAGCAAUACGGAUGGUGGCGACCGGCGCACGGGUGAGUAACACGUAUGCAACCUGCCUUCAACAAGGGGAUAACCCGUUGAAAGACGGACUAAUACCCUAUAACACAGGGGUCCCGCAUGGGAAUAUUUGUUAAAGGACAACCGGUUGAAGAUGGGCAUGCGUUCCAUUAGCUAGUUGGCGGGGUAACGGCCCACCAAGGCAACGAUGGAUAGGGGAACUGAGAGGUUUAUCCCCCACACUGGUACUGAGACACGGUCCAGACUCCUACGGGAGGCAGCAGUAAGGAAUAUUGCUCAAUGGCCGAAAGGCUGAAGCAGCAACGCCGCGUGGAGGAUGAAAUACUUUGUAUGUAAACUCCUGUGAAGAAGGGAAAAUAUGCAGAUUUUCUGCGUUGAUUGUACCUUCAGAGGAAGCCCCGGCUAACUACGUGCCAGCAGCC
rnacentral:rRNA from 1 species